rnacentral:rRNA from 1 species
UGCGUAGGCGGCGUCAUAAGUCAGGGGUGAAAGCCCACAGCUCAACUGUGGAAUUGCCUUUGAUACUGUGGUGCUUGAAUCAGGUUGAGGUAGGCGGAAUGUGGCAUGUAGCGGUGAAAUGCUUAGAUAUGCCAUAGAACACCGAUUGCGAAGGCAGCUUACUGGACCUGCAUUGACGCUGAGGCACGAAAGCGUGGGGAGCGAACAGGAUUAGAUAACCUGGUAGUCC